GUGAGGUAUAUUGCAUGCAGGGUGUAGUGUGUUUUAUAUAGUAACUAUAUUUUCUAUAUAGCUAUAUUGUAUGUAAGGCGUAGUGUGUGUAAGGUAUAUUGUAUGCAGGGUGUAGUGCGUGAGGUAAAGUGUAUGCAGGGCGUAGUGUGUGUAAGGUAUAUUGUAUGCAGGGCGUAGUGUGUGUAAGGUAUAUUUUAUGCAGGGCGUAGUG